UUAAGCAUAUCAAUAAGCGGAGGAAAAGAAACUAACAAGGAUUCCCCUAGUAACUGCGAGUGAAGCGGGAAAAGCUCAAAUUUAAAAUCUGGUGGUCUUUGGCCAUCCGAGUUGUAGUCUGGAGAAGUGCUUUCCGCGUUGGACCGUGUACAAGUCUCUUGGAACAGAGCGUCAUAGAGGGUGAGAAUCCCGUCUUUGACACGGACUACCAAUGCUUUGUGAUGCGCUCUCAAAGAGUCGAGUUGUUUGGGAAUGCAGCUCAAAAUGGGUGGUAAAUUCCAUCUAAAGCUAAAUAUUGGCGAGAGACCGAUAGCGAACAAGUACCGUGAGGGAAAGAUGAAAAGCACUUUGGAAAGAGAGUUAAACAGUACGUGAAAUUGCUGAAAGGGAAACGCUUGAAGUCAGUCGCGUUGGCCGGAACUCAGCCUUGCUUUUGCUAGGUGCACUUUCUGGUUGACGGGCCAGCAUCAAUUUUGAUUGUUGGAUAAAGGCUGGGGGAAUGUAGCACCUUCGGGUGUGUUAUAGCCCCCGGUCACAUACAACAGUUGGGAUUGAGGAUCUCAGCACGCCUUUAUGGCCGGGGUUCGCCCACGUUCGUGCUUAGGAUGCUGGCAUAAUGGCUUUAAUCGACCCGUCUUGAAACACGGACCAAGGAGUCUAACAUGCCUGCGAGUGUUUGGGUGGAAAACCCGAGCGCGUAAUGAAAGUGAAAGUUGGGAUCUCUGUCAUGGAGAGCACCGACGCCCGGACCUGACCUUCUGUGACGGCUCCGCGGUAGAGCAUGUAUGUUGGGACCCGAAAGAUGGUGAACUAUGCCUGAAUAGGGUGAAGCCAGAGGAAACUCUGGUGGAGGCUCGUAGCGAUUCUGACGUGCAAAUCGAUCGUCAAAUUUGGGUAUAGGGGCGAAAGACUAAUCGAACCAUCUAGUAGCUGGUUCCUGCC
rnacentral:rRNA from 1 species